GCUAGUGGAGAUGGCACACUGAAUGCAUCAGUUCCUAAUAGAUCACGGAAGUUAAGCAACGUUGCGUAUGGUUAUAUUUGGACGGGUGACCAUCGUGCUGCUGGUUUUUCUCCGCUAGAC
rnacentral:rRNA from 1 species